rnacentral:rRNA from 1 species
GGGGAAUUUUGGACAAUGGGGGCAACCCUGAUCCAGCCAUGCCGCGUGAGUGAAGAAGGCCUUCGGGUUGUAAAGCUCUUUCGGCCGGGAAGAAAUCGCAUGGGCCAAUACCCUGUGUGGAUGACGGUACCGGAAUAAGAAGCACCGGCUAACUACGUGCCAGCAGCCGCGGUAAUACGUAGGGUGCGAGCGUUAAUCGGAAUUACUGGGCGUAAAGCGUGCGCAGGCGGUUUUGUAAGACAGGCGUGAAAUCCCCGGGCUUAACCUGGGAACUGCGUUUGUGACUGCAAGGCUAGAGUACGGCAGAGGGGGGUGGAAUUCCACGUGUAGCAGUGAAAUGCGUAGAGAUGUGGAGGAACACCAAUGGCGAAGGCAGCCCCCUGGGUCGAUACUGACGCUCAUGCACGAAAGCGUGGGUAGCAAAC